CCCUUAGAUGUUCUGGGCUACACGCGUGUUACACUGAUGCAUUCAACAAGUAUAACAUUCCUUACUCUAGUGAGUCGGGUAAUCUUUUAAAUAUGUAUCGUGAUGGGGAUAGAGCAUUGUAAUUUUUGCUCUUGAACGAGGAAUUCCUAGUAAGUGCAAGUCAUUAACUUGCGCUGAUUACGUCCCUGCCCUUUGUACACACCGCCCGUCGCUCCUACCGAUGAAUGGUCCGGUGAGGAUUCGGGAUGACCUUUGAUGCUGGUCUAACCACAUCACUGACUGUCAGAACUUAUUCAAACCUUAUCAUUUAGAGGAAGGAGAAGUCGUAACA
rnacentral:rRNA from 1 species